rnacentral:rRNA from 1 species
GACGAACGCUGGCGGCGUGCUUAACACAUGCAAGUCGAACGGAAAGGCCCUGCUUUUGUGGGGUGUUCGAGUGGCGAACGGGUGAGUAACACGUGAGUAACCUGCCCUUGACUUUGGGAUAACUUCAGGAAACUGGGGCUCAUACCGGAUAGGAUCUCCUGCUGCAUGGUGGGGGUUGGAAAGUUUCGGCGGUUGGGGAUGGACUCGCGGCUUAUCAGCUUGUUGGUGGAGUAGUGGCUUACCAAGGCUUUGACGGGUAGCCCGCCUGAGAGGGUGGCCGGCGACCUUGCUCCUAAGAUAGGCCGCAGAAGCGAAUCGGACGCAGCAGUCGAGAACCUUGCAGAACGGCGGCACGUCAGAGAUAGAAACCCUGCGUUCGUAAUGAUCUGUUUUUGGGUAAAAACAGCUGUGUAAUUAGCUGAACCCUGAGUGACGGUAACGGGUCAGGAAGCACCGGCUAACUACGUG